rnacentral:rRNA from 1 species
UACGUAGGGGGCAAGCGUUGUCCGGAUUUAUUGGGCGUAAAGAGCUCGUAGGCGGUUGGGCAAGUCACGUGUGAAAUCUCCACGCUCAACGUGGAGGCGCCACGUGAGACUGCCCUGACUCGAGUCCGGUAGGGGAGCGUGGAAUUCCCGGUGUAGCGGUGAAAUGCGCAGAGAGUCGGGAGGAACACCCGUAGCGAAGGCGGCGCUCUGGGCCGGUACUGACGCUGAGGAGCGAAAGCGUGGGUAGCAAACAGG